UAAGCAUAUCAAUAAGCGGAGGAAAAGAAACCAACAGGGAUUGCCCCAGUAACGGCGAGUGAAGCGGCAACAGCUCAAAUUUGAAAUCUGGCCCCUCGGGGUCCGAGUUGUAAUUUGUAGAGGAUGCUUUUGGUGAGGUGCCGCCCGAGUUCCCUGGAACGGGACGCCACAGAGGGUGAGAGCCCCGUCUGGCUGGCCACCGAGCCUCUGUAAAGCUCCUUCGACGAGUCGAGUAGUUUGGGAAUGCUGCUCAAAAUGGGAGGUAUAUGUCUUCUAAAGCUAAAUAUUGGCCAGAGACCGAUAGCGCACAAGUAGAGUGAUCGAAAGAUGAAAAGCACCUUGAAAAGAGGGUUAAAUAGUACGUGAAAUUGUUGAAAGGGAAGCGCUUGUGACCAGACUUGGGCGCGGCGGAUCAUCCGGGGUUCUCUCCGGUGCACUUCGCCGCGUCUAGGCCAGCAUCAGUUCGUCGCGGGGGAAAAAGGCUUCGGGAACGUGGCUCCUCCGGGAGUGUUAUAGCCCGUUGCAUAAUACCCUGCGGUGGACUGAGGACCGCGCAUCUGCAAGGAUGCUGGCGUAAUGGUCACCAGCGACCCGUCUUGAAACACGGACCAAGGAGUCGUCUUCGUAUGCGAGUGUUCGGGUGUCAAACCCCUACGCGUAAUGAAAGUGAACGCAGGUGAGAGCUUCGGCGCAUCAUCGACCGAUCCUGAUGUUCUCGGAUGGAUUUGAGUAAGAGCAUACGGGGCCGGACCCGAAAGAAGGUGAACUAUGCCUGUAUAGGGUGAAGCCAGAGGAAACUCUGGUGGAGGCUCGCAGCGGUUCUGACGUGCAAAUCGAUCGUCAAAUAUGGGCAUGGGGGCGAAAGACUAAUCGAACCUUCUAGUAGCUGGUUUCCGCCGA
rnacentral:rRNA from 1 species